rnacentral:piRNA from 2 species
UUCCAAGGCUGUUCUAAAGGCCAGCUAUGC